UACGAAGGGUGCAAACGUUGCUCGGAAUUAUUGGGCGUAAAGCGCACGUAGGCGGCUUAGCAAGUCGGAAGUGAAAGCCCUUGGCUCAACCAAGGAAGUGCUUUCGAAACUGCUGAGCUUGAGUAGUUAAGAGGAUCGCGGAAUUCCCGGUGUAGAGGUGAAAUUCGUAGAUAUGGGGAGGAACACCGGUGGCGAAGGCGGCCAUCUGGACGGAUACUGACGCUGAGACGCGAAAGCGUGGGGAGCAAACAGG
rnacentral:rRNA from 1 species